rnacentral:tRNA from 1 species
GGGCCUGUAGCUCAGUGGUAGAGCGUCGGCUUUGCAAGCCGAAGGUCCCGGGUUCGAGUCCCGGCAGGUCCAC